AGCAGCCGCGGUAAUUCCAGCUCCAAUAGCGUAUAUUAAAGUUGUUGCAGUUAAAAAGCUCGUAGUUGAAUUUCGGGAUCAGUAUGUUGGUCGUGCUUCGGUACGUACCGUCAUUACUGGUUUCUACCUUCUGAAGAACCUUGAUGUCAUUAAUUUGGUGUCUUGGGGAAUCAGGACUGUUACUUUGAAAAAAUUAGAGUGUUUAAAGCAAGCAUACGCUUGAAUACAUUAGCAUGGAAUAAUGAAAUAGGACGUUUGAUUCUAUUUUGUUGGUUUCUAGGAUCGACGUAAUGAUUAAUAGGGAUAGUUGGGGGCAUUAGUAUUCAAUUGUCAGAGGUGAAAUUCUUGGAUUUAUUGAAGACUAACUACUGCGAAAGCAUUUGCCAAGGAUGUUUUCAUUAAUCAAGAACGAAAGUUAGGGGAUCGAAGACGAUCAGAUACCGUCGUAGUCUUAACCAUAAACUAUGCCGACUAGGGAUCGGAUGAUGUUAUUUUUAAUGACUCAUUCGGCGCCUUACGG
rnacentral:rRNA from 1 species